GAUCCUGGCUCAGAACGAACGCUGGGCGGCAGGCUUAACACAUGCAAGUCGAGCGCCUCGCAAGGGGAGCGGCAGACGGGUGAGUAACGCGUGGGAACGUACCCUUCUCUACGGAAUAACACAGAGAAAUUUGUGCUAAUACCGUAUACGCCCGUUCGGGGGAAAGAUUUAGUCGGGGAAGGAUCGGCCCGCGUCGGAUUAGGUAGUUGGUGGGGUAAUGGCCUACCAAGCCUACGAUCCGUAGCUGGUCUGAGAGGAUGAUCAGCCACACUGGGACUGAGACACGGCCCAGACUCCUACGGGGAGGCAGCAGGUGGGGAAUAUUGGACAAUGGGGGCAACCCUGAUCCAGCCAUGCCGCGUGAGUGAUGAAGGCCUUAGGGUUGUAAAGCUCUUUCACCCACGACGAUAAUGACGGUAGUGGGAGAAGAAGCCCCGGCUAACUUCGUG
rnacentral:rRNA from 1 species